UGAAGUGUACCUUCAUAAAAGCUAUUUGAUGGGAACUCAGACAAUGCAGGGUGCAUACGGUAUUGUACCUGUAACCUAAUAGGUUUCACGCCUAGAAACACAAGGCGUUCAAAGAGAGAUUGAGCCAGCCCAGCACGAGCCGCUUUCUUGCACAUAAUAACAGGUCCAAGCUGGCAAUGGUCACCGACAAGAACAGCCUGCUUUGCACCAAGAACCAAAGGAAUGAGACAUUCAGGCUCAGUAGCCUGAGUGGAUUCAUCAAUGAGCACCUGGCGGAAUCUGAAAUUAGCCAAUCUAGGAUCUCCAGCACCAACGCAUGUGCAACAAAUGACAUCAGCACUCUGAGCUAUUUCCCUCUCUGUUGCCCUUUUCAGAGCUUUAUAUUUCUUCUCAUCACUACUGGAGAGCUCUCCUUGUUCAUCUUUCAGUUGCUGUAACUUAUGAAGUUCACUCUUCUCAGACGUGUCAAGAUGGCGAACCUGAUAGUGAAGGGUUAAAUGCUCGACAGGAGAACUGACAGCUUCCCUCGACUUGGCACAGAGCCUGACCACCUUUAGACCGGUAGCACUUAUCUUCUCAGCUAAUUGGUCCACAGCCACGUUACUGGGUGCACAGACCAAAACCUGACCCUGGCCUUGCUUGGCCAUAUGAUACACGAUGGCAGCGGAGGUAACAGUUUUUCCCGUACCGGGCGGACCUUGAAUUAAACUGACGGGCUUCUGGAGAACACUUUUUACAGCAAAAACCUGAGACGCGUUAAGCUCUGGAAGACCAGGAGCACCAAAACGGCGAGGAAGUGCAUUCCGAAUCAUCUGCAUCUCAACUUCGUGACCUAGCAGAUGAUGGUAAAUAUACCCACUAACACUUGUCUCAUCCACAGCAAAAGUUUUCAUUGCAGUUUGCAUUCUGUCAAAGCUCGUACUCUUCCAAACAAAGUCAACACUCAGCCCAUGGGUCACAUCAACCGGAACUCCCUGACUGGCACGAAGCUCAAGGGCAACCUCUUCUUGAGCAGUUAAUUUUAUCACAUGCCCCACUGACUGCCAUGCUGGAUGAGCUGCAUCCCCUGAAUAACGCAGUCGUAGCUCAUCACCAGGUACAAGUCGUAACUCAUUGUCUUCCUUCGGGAAAACAAAAUAUGCUACCCGCUUCUUGUUGAGACCAAUAUCCCAUCGAAUAGUAAGAUUGUCUUUACUUUGAGACUCUUUCAUCAUCUUA
rnacentral:misc_RNA from 1 species